AUUGAACGCUGGCGGCAUGCCUUACACAUGCAAGUCGAACGGUAACGCGGGGCAACCUGGCGACGAGUGGCGAACGGGUGAGUAAUGCAUCGGAACGUGCCCAGUAGUGGGGGAUAGCCCGGCGAAAGCCGGAUUAAUACCGCAUACGACCUACGGGUGAAAGCGGGGGACCGUAAGGCCUCGCGCUAUUGGAGCGGCCGAUGUCAGAUUAGGUUGUUGGUGGGGUAAAAGCCUACCAAGCCGACGAUCUGUAGCUGGUCUGAGAGGACGAUCAGCCACACUGGGACUGAGACACGGCCCAGACUCCUACGGGAGGCAGCAGUGGGGAAUUUUGGACAAUGGGGGCAACCCUGAUCCAGCCAUGCCGCGUGCGGGAAGAAGGCCUUCGGGUUGUAAACCGCUUUUGUCAGGGAAGAAACGCUCUGGGCUAAUACCCCGGGGUAAUGACGGUUCCUGAAGAAUAAGCACCGGCUAACUACGUGCCAGCAGCCGCCGUAA
rnacentral:rRNA from 1 species